UGUCCCCGAUGGGAAUCGAACCCGCACUCUCCAGUUUCGUAAGCCGAUACUUUACCUACUAGAGUACGGAGAG